GACGAACGCUGGCGGCGUGCUUAACACAUGCAAGUCGAACGGAGAAACCCUACCUUGCUCUUCUGCUUCAGUGGCGAACGGGUGAGUAACACGUGAGUAACCUGCCCCAGACUCUGGAAUAAGCUCUGGAAACGGCGUCUAAUACCGGAUACGAGACACUGCUGCAUGGUUACUGUCUGAAAAGUUGUUCGGUCUGGGAUGGACUCGCGGCCUAUCAGCUUGUUGGUGAGGUAGCGGCUCACCAAGGCAACGACGGGUAGCCGGCCUGAGAGGGUGACCGGCCACACUGGGACUGAGAUACGGCCCAGACUCCUACGGGAGGCAGCAGUGGGGAAUAUUGCACAAUGGGCGGAAGCCAGAUGCAGCAACGCCGCGUGAGGGAUGACGGCCUUCGGGUUGUAAACCGCUUUCGGCAGGGAAGAAGCGAGAGUGACGGUAACGGGUGAAGAAGCACCGGCUAACUACGUG
rnacentral:rRNA from 1 species